rnacentral:rRNA from 1 species
UUAAGCGACUAAGCGUACACGGUGGAUGCCCUGGCAGUCAGAGGCGAUGAAGGACGUGCUAAUCUGCGAUAAGCGUCGGUAAGGUGAUAUGAACCGUUAUAACCGGCGAUUUCCGAAUGGGGAAACCCAGUGUGUUUCGACACACUAUCAUUAACUGAAUCCAUAGGUUAAUGAGGCGAACCGGGGGAACUGAAACAUCUAAGUACCCCGAGGAAAAGAAAUCAACCGAGAUUCCCCCAGUAGCGGCGAGCGAACGGGGAGCAGCCCAGAGCCUGAAUCAGUGUGUGUGUUAGUGGAAGCGUCUGGAAAGGCGUGCGAUACAGGGUGACAGCCCCGUACACAAAAAUGCACAUAUUGUGAGCUCGAUGAGUAGGGCGGGACACGUGGUAUCCUGUCUGAAUAUGGGGGGACCAUCCUCCAAGGCUAAAUACUCCUGACUGACCGAUAGUGAACCAGUACCGUGAGGGAAAGGCGAAAAGAACCCCGGCGAGGGGAGUGAAAAAGAACCUGAAACCGUGUACGUACAAGCAGUGGGAGCACGCUUAGGCGUGUGACUGCGUACCUUUUGUAUAAUGGGUCAGCGACUUAUAUUCUGUAGCAAGGUUAACCGAAUAGGGGAGCCGAAGGGAAACCGAGUCUUAACUGGGCGUUAAGUUGCAGGGUAUAGACCCGAAACCCGGUGAUCUAGCCAUGGGCAGGUUGAAGGUUGGGUAACACUAACUGGAGGACCGAACCGACUAAUGUUGAAAAAUUAGCGGAUGACUUGUGGCUGGGGGUGAAAGGCCAAUCAAACCGGGAGAUAGCUGGUUCUCCCCGAAAGCUAUUUAGGUAGCGCCUCGUGAAUUCAUCUCCGGGGGUAGAGCACUGUUUCGGCAAGGGGGUCAUCCCGACUUACCAACCCGAUGCAAACUGCGAAUACCGGAGAAUGUUAUCACGGGAGACACACGGCGGGUGCUAACGUCCGUCGUGAAGAGGGAAACAACCCAGACCGCCAGCUAAGGUCCCAAAGUCAUGGUUAAGUGGGAAACGAUGUGGGAAGGCCCAGACAGCCAGGAUGUUGGCUUAGAAGCAGCCAUCAUUUAAAGAAAGCGUAAUAGCUCACUGGUCGAGUCGGCCUGCGCGGAAGAUGUAACGGGGCUAAACCAUGCACCGAAGCUGCGGCAGCGACGCUUAUGCGUUGUUGGGUAGGGGAGCGUUCUGUAAGCCUGCGAAGGUGUGCUGUGAGGCAUGCUGGAGGUAUCAGAAGUGCGAAUGCUGACAUAAGUAACGAUAAAGCGGGUGAAAAGCCCGCUCGCCGGAAGACCAAGGGUUCCUGUCCAACGUUAAUCGGGGCAGGGUGAGUCGACCCCUAAGGCGAGGCCGAAAGGCGUAGUCGAUGGGAAACAGGUUAAUAUUCCUGUACUUGGUGUUACUGCGAAGGGGGGACGGAGAAGGCUAUGUUGGCCGGGCGACGGUUGUCCCGGUUUAAGCGUGUAGGCUGGUUUUCCAGGCAAAUCCGGAAAAUCAAGGCUGAGGCGUGAUGACGAGGCACUACGGUGCUGAAGCAACAAAUGCCCUGCUUCCAGGAAAAGCCUCUAAGCAUCAGGUAACAUCAAAUCGUACCCCAAACCGACACAGGUGGUCAGGUAGAGAAUACCAAGGCGCUUGAGAGAACUCGGGUGAAGGAACUAGGCAAAAUGGUGCCGUAACUUCGGGAGAAGGCACGCUGAUAUGUAGGUGAAGUCCCUCGCGGAUGGAGCUGAAAUCAGUCGAAGAUACCAGCUGGCUGCAACUGUUUAUUAAAAACACAGCACUGUGCAAACACGAAAGUGGACGUAUACGGUGUGACGCCUGCCCGGUGCCGGAAGGUUAAUUGAUGGGGUCAGCGCAAGCGAAGCUCUUGAUCGAAGCCCCGGUAAACGGCGGCCGUAACUAUAACGGUCCUAAGGUAGCGAAAUUCCUUGUCGGGUAAGUUCCGACCUGCACGAAUGGCGUAAUGAUGGCCAGGCUGUCUCCACCCGAGACUCAGUGAAAUUGAACUCGCUGUGAAGAUGCAGUGUACCCGCGGCAAGACGGAAAGACCCCGUGAACCUUUACUAUAGCUUGACACUGAACAUUGAGCCUUGAUGUGUAGGAUAGGUGGGAGGCUUUGAAGUGUGGACGCCAGUCUGCAUGGAGCCGACCUUGAAAUACCACCCUUUAAUGUUUGAUGUUCUAACGUUGACCCGUGAUCCGGGUUGCGGACAGUGUCUGGUGGGUAGUUUGACUGGGGCGGUCUCCUCCUAAAGAGUAACGGAGGAGCACGAAGGUUGGCUAAUCCUGGUCGGACAUCAGGAGGUUAGUGCAAUGGCAUAAGCCAGCUUGACUGCGAGCGUGACGGCGCGAGCAGGUGCGAAAGCAGGUCAUAGUGAUCCGGUGGUUCUGAAUGGAAGGGCCAUCGCUCAACGGAUAAAAGGUACUCCGGGGAUAACAGGCUGAUACCGCCCAAGAGUUCAUAUCGACGGCGGUGUUUGGCACCUCGAUGUCGGCUCAUCACAUCCUGGGGCUGAAGUAGGUCCCAAGGGUAUGGCUGUUCGCCAUUUAAAGUGGUACGCGAGCUGGGUUUAGAACGUCGUGAGACAGUUCGGUCCCUAUCUGCCGUGGGCGCUGGAGAACUGAGGGGGGCUGCUCCUAGUACGAGAGGACCGGAGUGGACGCAUCACUGGUGUUCGGGUUGUCAUGCCAAUGGCACUGCCCGGUAGCUAAAUGCGGAAGAGAUAAGUGCUGAAAGCAUCUAAGCACGAAACUUGCCCCGAGAUGAGUUCUCCCUGACUCCUUGAGAGUCCUGAAGGAACGUUGAAGACGACGACGUUGAUAGGCCGGGUGUGUAAGCGCAGCGAUGCGUUGAGCUAACCGGUACUAAUGAACCGUGAGGCUUAACCUU